AACGAACGCUGGCGGCAUGCCUAACACAUGCAAGUCGAACGAGACCUUCGGGUCUAGUGGCGCACGGGUGCGUAACGCGUGGGAAUCUGCCCUUGGGUUCGGGAUAACAGUUGGAAACGACUGCUAAUACCGAAUGAUGUCUUCGGACCAAAGAUUUAUCGCCCAGGGAUGAGCCCGCGUCGGAUUAGCUAGUUGGUGAGGUAAAGGCUCACCAAGGCGACGAUCCGUAGCUGGUCUGAGAGGAUGAUCAGCCACACUGGGACUGAGACACGGCCCAGACUCCUACGGGAGGCAGCAGUGGGGAAUAUUGGACAAUGGGCGAAAGCCUGAUCCAGCAAUGCCGCGUGAGUGAUGAAGGCCUUAGGGUUGUAAAGCUCUUUUACCCGGGAUGAUAAUGACAGUACCGGGAGAAUAAGCCCCGGCUAACUCCGUGCCAGCAGCAGCCGCGGUAA
rnacentral:rRNA from 1 species